rnacentral:pre_miRNA from 1 species
AGGGGGAGGCCGGAUCCUGGGCUGUGUCCCGGCGCCCUGUGCUCUGGGGCCUGCGCUGUUGGAUUCGCGCUCGCAGCCGCACAGCCCCCU